AUUGAACGCUGGCGGCAUGCUUUACACAUGCAAGUCGAACGGCAGCGCGGGCUUCGGCCUGGCGGCGAGUGGCGAACGGGUGAGUAAUACAUCGGAACGUGCCCAGUAGUGGGGGAUAGCUCGGCGAAAGCCGGAUUAAUACCGCAUACGACCUGAGGGUGAAAGCGGGGGAUCUUCGGACCCCGCGCUAUUGGAGCGGCCGAUGGCAGAUUAGCUAGUUGGUGGGGUAAAGGCCUACCAAGGCGACGAUCUGUAGCUGGUCUGAGAGGACGACCAGCCACACUGGGACUGAGACACGGCCCAGACUCCUACGGGAGGCAGCAGUGGGGAAUUUUGGACAAUGGGCGAAAGCCUGAUCCAGCAAUGCCGCGUGUGUGAUGAAGGCCUUCGGGUUGUAAAGCACUUUUGGCGGGAACGAAAAGGACUGUGCCAAUACCACGGUUCGAUGACGGUACCCGCAGAAUAAGCACCGGCUAACUACGUG
rnacentral:rRNA from 1 species